AUAGAACUGCAUCCAAAACUGUCAGGCUAGAGUCUGGGAGGGGAAGAUGGAAUUAGUUGUGUAGGGGUAAAAUCCGUAGAGAUAACUAGGAAUACCAAAAGCGAAGGCGAUCUACUGGAACAUUAUUGACGCUGAGACGCGAAAGCGUGGGGAGCAAACAGGAUUAGAUACCCUGGUAGUCCACGCCCUAAACGAUGUACACUAGUUGUUGUGAGGCUCGACCUUGCAGUAAUGCAGUUAACACAUUAAGUGUACCGCCUGGGGAGUACGGUCGCAAGAUUAAAACUCAAAGGAAUAGACGGGGACCCGCACAAGCGGUGGAGCAUGUGGUUUAAUUCGACGAUACACGAAGAACCUUACCUGGACUUGACAUAGUAAGAACUUUCUAGAGAUAGAUUGGUGUCUGCUUACAGAAACUUAUAUACAGGUGCUGCACGGCUGUCGUCAGCUCGUGUCGUGAGAUGUUGGGUUAAGUCCCGCAACGAGCGCAACCCUCGUCGUUAGUUGCUAACAGUUCGGCUGAGAACUCUAACGAGACUGCCUACGCAAGUAGGAGGAAGGUGAGGACGACGUCAAGUCAUCAUGGCCCUUACGUCCAGGGCUACACACGUGCUACAAUGGGGUAUACAAAGAGCCGCAAUACGGUGACGUGGAGCAAAUCUCAAAAAUAUCUCCCAGUUCGGAUUGUAGUCUGCAACUCGACUACAUGAAGUUGGAAUCGCUAGUAAUCGUAGAUCAGCUAUGCUACGGUGAAUACGUUCCCGGGUCUUGCACACACCGCCCGUCA
rnacentral:rRNA from 1 species